rnacentral:tRNA from 1 species
ACAUAGACCUCAGUCAUCUAAUAAAUGAGGAUGGAAGGUCCAGUGAAACGGUCGGG